GGGUUGGAAAGUUUUUCGGUGGGGGAUGGGCUCGCGGCCUAUCAGCUUGUUGGUGGGGUGAUGGCCUACCAAGGCGUCGACGGGUAGCCGGCCUGAGAGGGCGACCGGCCACACUGGGACUGAGACACGGCCCAGACUCCUACGGGAGGCAGCAGUGGGGAAUAUUGCACAAUGGGCGAAAGCCUGAUGCAGCGACGCCGCGUGAGGGAUGACGGCCUUCGGGUUGUAAACCUCUUUCAGCAGGGAAGAAGCGCAAGUGACGGUACCUGCAGAAGAAGCGCCGGCUAACUACGUGCCAGCAGCCGCGGUAAUACGUAGGGCGCAAGCGUUGUCCGGAAUUAUUGGGCGUAAAGAGCUCGUAGGCGGUCUGUCGCGUCUGGUGUGAAAUCCCGAGGCUCAACCUCGGGCUUGCAUCGGGUACGGGCAGACUAGAGUGCGGUAGGGGAGACUGGAAUUCCUGGUGUAGCGGUGGAAUGCGCAGAUAUCAGGAGGAACACCGAUGGCGAAGGCAGGUCUCUGGGCCGCAACUGACGCUGAGGAGCGAAAGCAUGGGGAGCGAACAGGAUUAGAUACCCUGGUAGUCCAUGCCGUAAACGUUGGGCACUAGGUGUGGGGCUCAUUCCACGAGUUCCGUGCCGCAGCUAACGCAUUAAGUGCCCCGCCUGGGGAGUACGGCCGCAAGGCUAAAACUCAAAGGAAUUGACGGGGGCCCGCACAAGCGGCGGAGCAUGCGGAUUAAUUCGAUGCAACGCGAAGAACCUUACCAAGGCUUGACAUGUACGAGAAAGCCCCCGAGAAGGGGUUCUCUUUGGACACUCGUACACAGGUGGUGCAUGGUUGUCGUCAGCUCGUGUCGUGAGAUGUUGGGUUAAGUCCCGCAACGAGCGCAACCCUCGUCCUAUGUUGCCAGCGGGUUAUGCCGGGGACUCAUGGGAGACUGCCGGGGUCAACUCGGAGGAAGGUGGGGAUGACGUCAAAUCAUCAUGCCCCUUAUGUCUUGGGCUUCACGCAUGCU
rnacentral:rRNA from 1 species